GACGGAGGGUGCAAGCGUUGUUCGGAAUCACUGGGCGUAAAGCGCGUGUAGGCGGUUUGAUAAGUCGAAUGUGAAAGCCCGAGGCUCAACCUCGGAAGUGCAUUCGAAACUGUAAGGCUUGAGUACGGGAGAGGGAAGUGGAAUUCCUGGUGUAGAGGUGAAAUUCGUAGAUAAUAGGAGGAACACCGGUGGCGAAGUCGGCUUCCUGGAUCAAUACUGACGCUGUGGCGCGAAAGCGCGGGGAGCAAACAGG
rnacentral:rRNA from 1 species